UCCUUGAGGCCUCGAACAAAUGCUUGCAU
rnacentral:sRNA from 1 species